UGCCGGGUCGUCUAAUGGUAGGACAGGGGCCUUUGAAGCCCUCAGUCUAGGUUCGAAUCCUAGCCCGGCAGCCA
rnacentral:tRNA from 1 species